rnacentral:rRNA from 1 species
AUUGAACGCUGGCGGCAUGCCUUACACAUGCAAGUCGAACGGCAGCGGACCUUCGGGUGCCGGCGAGUGGCGAACGGGUGAGUAAUCUAUCGGAAUGUGCCUUUCAGUGGGGGAUAACGUAGCGAAAGUUACGCUAAUACCGCAUAUUCUCUGAGGAGGAAAGCAGGGGACCUUCGGGCCUUGCGCUGAUAGAGCGGCCGAUAUCAGAUUAGCUAGUUGGUGGGGUAAAGGCCUACCAAGGCGACGAUCUGUAGCGGGUCUGAGAGGUUGAUCCGCCACACUGGGACUGAGACACGGCCCAGACUCCUACGGGAGGCAGCAGUGGGGAAUUUUGGACAAUGGGCGAAAGCCUGAUCCAGCCAUGCCGCGUGAGUGAAGAAGGCCUUCGGGUUGUAAAGCUCUUUCGGCCGGGAAGAAAUCGCACAGGCUAAUACCUUGUGUGGAUGACGGUACCGGAAUAAGAAGCACCGGCUAACUACGUGCCAGCCGCCGCAGUAA